UACGGGGGGGGCAAGCGUUGUUCGGAAUUACUGGGCGUAAAGGGCGCGUAGGCGGCCAGCACAAGUCAGUUGUGAAAUCUCCGAGCUUAACUCGGAAAGGUCAACUGAUACUGUGCGGCUAGAGUGCGGAAGGGGCAACUGGAAUUCUUGGUGUAGCGGUGAAAUGCGUAGAUAUCAAGAGGAACACCUGCGGCGAAGGCGGGUUGCUGGGCCGACACUGACGCUGAGGAGCGAAAGCGUGGGGAGCGAACAGG
rnacentral:rRNA from 1 species